CGCCUCUUGCCCCAAUAUAAGAGGUCCCGCCUGCCCUGUGACAAUAGUUUAACGGCCGCGGUAUUUUGACCGUGCGAAGGUAGCGUAAUCACUUGUCUUUUAAAUGAAGACCUGUAUGAAUGGCAUAACGAGGGCUAAGCUGUCUCCUUUUCCUAGUCAAUGAAAUUGAUCUUCCCGUGCAGAAGCGGGAAUAAAGACAUAAGACGAGAAGACCCUAUGGAGCUUUAAACCCCGAAGCAGCCCACAUCUAAAAGCUUUAAACCACUAAAGCCGAAUUAACACUGGCCCCUGCUUUGGGUUUUUGGUUGGGGCGACCGCGGGGAAACAAAAAACCCCCACAUGGUAAGGGACCUCCUCCCUAAAACCAGAGCCACAGCUCUAAUGAACAGAACAUCUGACCGCUAAGAUCCGGCACCGCCGAUCAACGGACCCAGUUACCCUAGGGAUAACAGCGCAAUCCCCUUUUAGAGUCCAUAUCGACAAGGGGGUUUACGACCUCGAUGUUGGAUCAGGACAUCCUAAUGGUGCAGCCGCUAUUAAGGGUUCGUUUGUUCAACGAUUAAAGUCCU
rnacentral:rRNA from 1 species